AUUGAACGCUGGCGGCAUGCCUUACACAUGCAAGUCGAACGGCAGCACGGGUGCUUGCACCUGGUGGCGAGUGGCGAACGGGUGAGUAAUAUAUCGGAACGUACCUUAUUGUGGGGGAUAACGCAGCGAAAGCUGUGCUAAUACCGCAUAAUCCCUAAGGGGGAAAGCGGGGGACCGUAAGGCCUCGCGCAAUUAGAGCGGCCGAUACCUGAUUAGCUAGUUGGGGAGGUAAAGGCUCACCAAGGCAACGAUCAGUAGCUGGUCUGAGAGGACGAUCAGCCACACUGGGACUGAGCCACGUCCCAGACUCCUACGGGAGGCAGCAGUGGGGAAUUUUGGACAAUGGGGGCAACCCUGAUCCAGCAAUGCCGCGUGAGUGAAGAAGGCCUUCGGGUUGUAAAGCUCUUUUGUCAGGGAAGAAACAGCAGCUCUAACACAGUAUGCGAAUGACGGUACCUGAAGAAUAAGCACCGGCUAACUACGUGCCAGCCGCCGCAGUAA
rnacentral:rRNA from 1 species